rnacentral:rRNA from 1 species
UACAGGAGGGGGCAAGCGUUAUUCGGAAUUAUUGGGCGUAAAGCGCGUGUAGGCGGCCUAAGUAAGUCUUACGUGAAAAUCCUGAGGCUCAACCUCAGGUCUGCGCGGGAUACUGCUUGGCUAGAGUCCGGAAGAGGAGAGUGGAAUUCCUGGUGUAGCGGUGGAAUGCGCAGAUAUCAGGAGGAACAUCCGUGGCGAAGGCGGCUCUCUGGGGACGGUACUGACG